rnacentral:lncRNA from 1 species
UUAGAUGUUAGUGGCACUUGUCCACAACAUAAUACUACUCAUGUUAUAUGACAUUCACCGAAGAUCACUCUCGAUUGGACUAUAGUUUAUUUUGAAUAAACACAAGUCCGAAUACUUUGCAAAAGGUUUCAAAGAAUUCAAGAAAUGUAAGUUGAUGAGUAAGACGUCUAAAGUAUUUACCUCCUUAGAUUUGAUCCAAGGAAAGAUAACACUUUAGAACAGUUUCCUUGAAUAAUAUCAAGGAAAGAAGCAUCAAAAGAUAAUGGAUUUCUCCAUUAGGAGAAGAACGAACUUGAAUAAGAUUUAGU